UCCCGGAGCUCCGCCCCCCCCCCAUGGCGGCCCCCCCCGCCGGGGAUUGGUUCCACUGCAAUCGCUGCUACCGCCAGGAAGGCGCCCGCUUCUCCGUCACCAGCUGCGGGCACGUCCUGUGCGAGGCCUGCCUGGGUGCAGGGCCGUGCCCCAUCUGUGCUGCUGCGUGCCGCCGCUUCCCCAUCCCCGAGCAGCUGGAGGAGACACUCUUCCUAAAGAGCCCCGCCGCCAUUGCCCGGCAGCGCUUGGCACACAUCUCCCAGGCCUGGCGCUUCCAGCAGGCACAGGUGGACCUGCUGCUUGCCUCCCACCGUGACACAGCGCGCCGGGCUGAGGCGGCUCUGCGUGACACCCGACGGGCAUUGGACUCCAAGCAGAGGGAAGCAGAGGCGCUGCGGAGGGAGAACGGAGAGCUGCGGAGGCACCUGCGGGAGGCUGAGGUCUCCCCUACCUGGCGGUCGAGCAGGAGCAGCACUCCUCGGCCCAUUGGCAUUACUUCCCCAGCAACGACAGUCACCCCACAGCCUCGGCAGCAGCUCAGUGGGCAGGUGGUGAGCCGCUUGGCCUCACUGGAGUUCCCCUCGGCCAGCAGCACCCCGACGUGGCUGGCCCCAUCUCCAGGCUUCACCCCCAGUCUGGCCCACAGCCCCCCCGUGGCUGAGCCCACCAUGUCAUGGCCUCGACCAAGCUCGUACUGCCUCACUGCCUUGUGCAGCUCAAGGAAGUGCCCUCUGGAGUGCUGGUGGAACCCCUGCAUUGUCCAGCAAUGUGGGAUCAUCGCUGCCAUUUUGGAGUUUUAUGGGAUAUUUUGGGGCUGCCAGAGGGAUUCGCUGCUCCCCCAUGGUGCACCGCACCCCUCCAGGCCUGGCUUCCACCUCCUGCUUAAUAUCACCGUGCAGGUCAAGGAAACACAAUGUGAUGCCUCCUUGGGCUGCCAUGGUGCUGUGCAAUGUGGGGCAGCUGGCUGCACAUCUCAUCCAACAGUGUGGCUGAGCUGCAGGAGCUCUGUGGAUCACAGCAAGUCCAGCCUGAGGCUCUUCGGGGAUGGAGGGGUGAGGAGCUGCUCCAGAGAUUAUUCUUGGUCGUGGAGGGGCUACUGCAGUCUGAAUUGGGGGCGUUUUGGAAGGAGUCCCCUUAGUUAAGAUGGUUUUGGGGUGAAGGGACUUUUUUCUUAAGAUUGAAGUCUACGUGGUUGCAGAGUGAGGUUAAGAUAGAGACAACAGCAGUUGUGGGGUGAGUUAUGGGGGCUACCACAGUUGGGGAGGGUGGUGAUAAAAGCUGGAGGCCACCACACCUGAGGGCUGCAAGCUAUAGGUCCUUAGUGAGCAGGGCCAUGGUGCUGCUUUCUUGGGGUGCAAAAGCACCUCUAUGGCCAGGAAGGUGGCAGCUGCCCUUGAACUGAGGGCUGUAGCUGUGGAUUGGGACACCUCUCUCCCUGCCAAGUGUAUAAAGUUUCCUGAUUCGUUACAGCUGAUGUCUGUCUUUGUUGGAGGUGGGACGUGUGGUUGGGUGCAGCUCCUGAUAGUGGAGGGUGGGAUGUGAGUGCACAGCUAUGGAUGGCUCUGCCCCAGCAUGUGUGCUGUUGGAGCUGGGGGAGGUGAGAAUGGCGCUGAGUGGCCAGGUGCUCCAAUAGCUCCGGGACGUGUCGAGCUCACUGCGGGGCUCUGAAUGACCUUCAGGUCAGAGGGCACUCGGUUCCACCAGUGUUGUAGUCUACAGGGAGCCCUUGGAAGCCUCUCAGGAAGGCUCAGUGGGGCCUGGAGCAGAGGAGCAGAUUGCUUUGGUGGUGUCUGAGUGGCUGGAAGGCAACUGCCCCAGGAAGCUCAACGAGGAUGCUCUGGGUGGUGCUGGGAGGCUCUAAGGGACACGGGGAGCUCUGCGGUGUAUUUGGUUGCCUACAGAAAGCUUUAAUCGCUACAAACUCCCAAAUCCUCACUCAGCAGCCGAGCAAAUCCAAAAACAGCUGCAACCCUUCUGUAAAGCAGCAGCUGCCCCGCAGAUCCUCCCUGAGAAAACGCCCCGAGGACAGAAUCAACACAAUACUGGUUGGCACAUGCACUCAGCUCUAAGAGAACGAAUGCCAGCGAGCAGCGGCCGCUCCACGCAUCCCUUAAAAACGCAGCGCUAUCUGCCCGCAGCUCCCGCACCGAGCCCCGCAGCUCAGACGAGCAGCGUCCACCGCCUUCCCGCUCCCGGAGCUCCAUCUGUUCCGGCGCGCUCUCGUCUCCGUCCCGGACUCGCGUGCCCAAGCGAACCCCAGAAACGACCCGGUUCUGCCCCUGCGCGCCCAGCACCGCUGAGCCGACCUGCAUGGAACACCGCAGCGCCGCGCCUUCCUCCGGCUUUAUGGUGACUAGUCCAAUCGCUACUGCGCAUGCUCCAGUCGUCAGUCCUCCAAGCUCUAUGGUCACCCGUCCGCUAGGCAGCAACGCGAGCGCGAGAGAAACGCAGAAAUGACGUUUCUUUAUCGUUGCAGCCAGUCUCUAUGGUAAAAGGUUCUUCCUGGAGUACAACGCAUGCGCGCACAAACGCGGAAGUAGCCGCAUUCCGGUCCGUGCAGCGUCGCAGUGAAACGGGCAGGGAAUGCACUGCCCUGCAGUGAGGGACUCACUGUCCGGUGCUGCGCGGCGAGGGAGAGCGGAAAAGGCAUGAGAACAGUCAUCACGCGUAUGUCUGUAACCGUACUGUGGGGCACGGCUACGAGCACGCGCUGCUGUUCCUCACUCUGCUCCGCAGCGCAGUUUUGCAUUCCCGCGUUUCUCUCACCCGGAGUGUGGUGCCGGGUCACGUGGUGCCGGGAGCUAAUGGAGGCGGGAGCGUCUCGUGCCGAGUGGCAACGGGCGCGGAAUGGAAGGAGAGCAGAACGGGGCGAUGGAGGGCGGAGCGCGGUCAGGUUGUGCUGCGCUGCAGUUACGGCCCAGGGCGUUGAUUUGAAGAAGUAAUUGGCAUUCUUCUACCAAGUGUGUGUCAGUGAAGGAAGUUCACCUUUAGGAUGAGUGAAGAAGAGUCCUGGAUGAAGUCAAAGGCUGUCAAUGGGGCUGUCGUGGUGCUGAAAGGACACUGAGCAGUAGAAGAGAUCAUGGAAUAGAAGACUGGAAACCUCAUAAAUCACUGCCUAAGAUAGGCAUGUAUAUCUUAAUUAUCUCACAGAUUUUAUUUUGAAAGGAACAGUCAGAUGCUUUUCGGAGUCCUGAAUUACUUUACAUCUUGAGGUGGAAGUUGAAGACUCAGAUCCAAUAUCCCAGAGCCACAGCUGAUGCUGAACCCAGGAGUCCAGGCUGUGCUCAGGAAUUACUCCAAGAUGAGAAGCUGCCAUUGGUCUUCAAGCAGUCCCAGUGCCACGGCUAUAAGCAGAGGAAGGCAUAUCAAAUCUAUCUGUGUUACCUAUGAGCACACAAGGACCAUGGAGUGAAGAUUCAAUCAGUAACCAGGCUGUAUCAAACCAGAAGGUGUUACAGAGAUCACUUGCAGUGCUUCAGAGGCCACGUAAGAGGCUGUUCAAUAAAUUCAGUAUCUGACUUCUUACUCCUCCCUAAACGAGCUGAAGUGGCUGUUUUUGCUGCUGUUCUUCAAUCCUGGAGAAAUGACAUUGUAAACAUUCAAGCCUUUAUCAGAGCAAACGAAGCAUGAGAAGACAAAACCCUCAGUGAGUACUGCUGAAAGAAUAACACCAGUGUGCGUUGAGUCUGUGUUUGCAAUAAAUACUUCUAGCGUGAUGUAUAACAUCGGGGCAGUUAUGGAGGUCAGUUGGGAUGAUGUUGGUAAAGUGGUGCCAAGAGCAGACAGCUGCUGAGUCUGAAGGGAAACUCGAUUCCUGAUAGUAUUUCUGCUGCUGAGAAACAGAACCACAGAGUGAGGCAGCAAAAUAGGAAAAACUUGAAGCUUGAAGCCCAGUUUAGAAAGAAAGGCGUUCUCAAGCAUCUUCAGGAUGCUGCCAGCUCUGAUAGUAAUCCCUGCUCACAGCAAUUUGUCCUGGGUUCUCAGCAAACUCAGGAAUUCAGGGACAGGAUGGAGAACUCACUGCUCUAACAAAUGAGAUUUCCCUUCAUCAGCCCCAGACGUACCUCGCUUCUGACUUUUCCACAUGCAGGAAAGUGACCUCUCAGCUGCAAGUGUUUCCAGUGUUGUUUGUUUUGGAAUAUAUAACCGUGGGAUCUGUCCCUCUGUCCCUCUCUGUUCUUUGCAGGAUGUCGUUUCUCACAGCAAAAAGCUUUCUAAGGAGAGCAAGAAGCAAAAGGGAGGUUUGAAAGCUUUGAGCGAAUAGAGGAAAAAAAGCUGUCUGUCUGUUGGCAUCUGUUCUGCUUCCUUCGGGUAUGCAGGGAUUAACUUUGUUCUUUAGGAAUUAAGCCAUUUUUCUUUAGCCCCGUACUUUGUCACUCAGGGAGGCACUAGUUUUGAUCUGAUGCAAUGCCUUCCUAGAAUUCAGUCCAGUCUCAAUUCUUUGCUUACAAGGAGUACCAGCAGACUGUGAGCUUGGGCUUUACAGGCCAGCGGUGGAGCUGGCACAGAGGGCUCUGAAUGUUCAAAAAGGAAUGAGAAGGCUGAGAAUCAGGUGCUUUGUUUGACAUUUUUACCAGCUGUCCUCCUUAAGGAUACUGCCUGUCCAUAGGCACGUCUGGUUGCUUUGGCUGGAGCUGAGCUUGGUGCUUAUGGCUUCAGUCCUUUUUGAUACAUAGCUGCACUAUAUCAUAUACUUGCUGCCUAGAUCAAACAUACGUAUUGUUGGAGGAGAUUACUCUACGCAUUUUAUUUUUUUCAAAGUGUGAGGAUGGUGUAUGCCUUCAAACAGGUCACGUCUACACAAAAUUUCCUUUUUUCUUCUUUUUUUCCUUGGAGCAGUGGUUCAGAGAAAUGUGGAUGCUUUCUUCUCUGCUGCUAUGCUUCCCAUAGGGGUAUUCUAGGAAUGGCUUCUGUCAUUGAUUGCUUUCUUGCUUAUUUUAAAUACUGAAGGGAACAUACUGUUCUUUUUCUUUUACCUGCAUAAAACUCCCUUUGUUUCCAUUGUAGUUUUGAGUUGUGCUCUUGAAUGGAAUGUACAGCUGGAUCUAGAACAGUUGCCAGAGAGGAGUCUGCAGGCAAACGGUGAUGGAUUUCCCAGAUGGAGGUCAUAAAGUUCCUUGCCUCCUGGUGAAGUGUUCUCAUAUUAUUCUUAGAUAGGGUUGUAUGUGAUUGCUGUGCUGUGACUUUUAUGACAAAUCCAUUAUCUGUUUCCCAAAGGUGAUGCUGAGAAGCAUGCCUCGUGAUGACUUAUGCAUACCUCACGCUUCAUAUUAAUUCUUCCCUUGGGUUAAAAAUAGACCAAAUCCUUGAAGCUGUGCCUGGGAAUCUUACUGUUAUUAGAAUGAUUCAGCCAUGGUGGCUGUGGUCAGAACGCCCUGCAGCAGAUCUUGGCAUUGGUUGUGAAUGGAAGAACUCAGAGCAAAUUGCUCAAUAUCAAAACCAAUUCAGUGGAUAUUGACAAGUCUUGAGCGACCCGGAUGGGAUAUCAGCAUGGCGAGGCCAGGUACAGAAGCUGUUCCUGCUAUGGUUCUUCUAAGAGUUGCUUGACUGUCUUGUGUUGCUGUGUUAAUCGUUCCAAGCCAUCUUUGGCUUCGCUGCACACAUCUGUCUGAUUGAUACCAGUUUUUUCCAUCACCUCAGACACUGGCUGAAAAAAAAAAAAAAAAAAAAAAA